rnacentral:tRNA from 1 species
GUAGUUUAAUUGGAAGAUUCCGGUUUUGGGGACCGGAGAUGAAGGUUUGAACCCUU